GCUUCUGGACACGCGCCGGGCAAGGCCCUGGCCAUGGCUUUGCCACAGUGAGGAGCAGCGGCCUUCCCUUCGCCUUCCGCUCAGAGUUUCGCUUCCCAACAAGUUACAUAGGAUCCAACUGGGGUGGGGUGGGGUGGGGGAGCCGAAGGGGGCCGCUCGGCCAUUCCCUCCUCCCGCCGCCAAUACCGGUCCUCCCCGCUAGGAGGAAGAUGAAGGCGCCGAGUGGGUGCCGCUGAGCUACUUCUCCAGCCUAGGUUUGCCGGAAGGAGAGCUUAGCCUGGAGCACCACGAAGGAAGAGCUCGGCACCAGAAUCUGCCCUGAGGGAGGAGCCGCGCCAGCGGGGGGCGCGCACACACGCACGCACGCACGCACGCACGCACGCACGCACGGAGGGCACGAGGAGGCGCAUUCCAGAACGCGGCCCAAUGGGAGUAAGAAGGAGCAGCGAGGACCUAGGGAGGGACGCGCCGCGAUGCUCAGCUCCAUCCCCAGGAGCUCCGGAGGCUUCCUGCUUCUCCUCUUGCUCCCAGGCACUGCUAGGGGUGCCCGGGAGGAGCCGGGCUCGAAGGAUGAACCCCUUCCAGGACGGGAGCAGGGAAUAGGCGGCAGCCCCGGGCUUGGGAAGAAGUUGGACGGUGUCGGGAAAUACAGGACCGAGCCGGAGGCACGGCGAUCCCCCACUGAGGCCACUUUCGGAGACCGAGUCUCUGCUUGAUUUGGGUGGCCCCGCGGAGGGUGAGCCAGCCAGGUGGGCCCCGAAGGGAGAUGAGGGAGUGGAAGGAGGAGAGCCUGGCGGCCAGGAGCAGCUGGAGGGAGGCUGGGAGGCGAGUCUUUCCGGCUCCCCCGCCAUCUCUCACGGGAGUUUGAGAUCAGCUCCAGAACACCCACAUGCUACACACGCAUACGUGCAGCACACGUACAUCAUACAUAUUUACAUACAUGUGUGCCCGUGUACAUCUCCACUUCAAUAUAUGCAGCUACAGACUCAGAAAUCAUGGUACGGAGAACAUGGGACAGGGAGCACGAUGUUGGAAAUGGAGUUCGAAUGGGCAGGUGGCUCGGCUUGUCUUCCCUCAGUUCUGUCAUCUGUAAAAUGGGUUCACAGUAGCAGCCCCCUGGGGGCUGGGCAGAUUAGAUGAGGUCCGAGUUGGCACAUGCUCUGUGAGCCCUCCUCCUGGCCGGUCUUGUUCUGGGUUCCAUAAACAGCUGAAAUCCCCCUUCCUUAAUGGCGCACAGUGGGAAGGAGUCCCGUGUGUGGUCCACAAGGGUCGGUCCAUGUGCGAAUGGCUCUUCGCUCCCCCACGAGAGGAAUUUCCUGAAUGGCUCCCCCCCCCAUUCUUGGGAGCCUCCAGGGGCAGGCUAGACCCUUGGGGACCCCGGGCUGUUGGCCCCCCGCAUCCACCGCUUCAUCUCUGCCUUCUCGUAGGAGGGGCCUGGUGGCCAGAUCUCUGAACUGGAGCCUGGAGAGCAGCUUUCGAAUCCUGCUCUGGACUCGGGGGAAGUGUCCGGCCUUUCGGAGCCCCGGCGUCUUCUUGUAGGGAGCGGAGGUUGGCCAGCGCCUCUACUGCCUGCCUCGAGGAUGCUUGGGAGAGCCUCAUGUGCUCCAAGGCUGGGACCUUCCGUCUGCCCUCAGCCACUGACCCACUGUCUCCCCCUACAGCCUGGAGAUCUGGGGGAGCCCUAAGGAGCAGCCGUCCCUUUCCCCGCCUCUGCCUCUCCUCCCCUCCCUGAUGGGGCUGGGGUGCCUGUGUGAAGCCUCCCUCCCCCCAGCAUUCCCUGGGGAUGGGAACCGAUGACCUGGGCCUGAGGACUCAAGGCCUGGAUGGUGCUGCGUCUGGCAAGGAGGUGGCAAGAGCCAGGUGCUUGGAGAAGGGAGCCGACUCCCCCUUGGUCCUGGAACCCGGGACCAGCGAGUGGCACGUUGGCCUUUCCCGUCUGUUCAAUGGGAGCGAUGAUCCCAGCACUCUGGCCACUCGUUCUCUGUCCGGGUGAGAGCCAGGACGGCGCUUCUUUUUCCCGGUUUUUAUCCCUAGCCCUUGGCGCAGGGCCCGACACACCGCACGUGGGGGCUUGGUAAAUGACCAGCCGCUCACCUCGCGGUCAGUCCCGCCAGCGGGGGCCUCACGUAGAAUGGCUCCAGAAGGAAGGAUCGCCGGACAGGACGCCAGGAAUCUCCUGGGGGCGGGAAGAGCAGGGAAAUGGGGCUACGGGCAGACCGCGCCGCCAGCGGUCCAUGGGCUGCCACGGCCAGUUGGACGGAGCUCGCUGUCGCCCGGGAGCUCAUCUCGCCGCGUCUUUCCUCCCCGAAGCAUGUCGGGUCUCUCGCUGGUCAGAAGAGCCGAAAAUGCUGGAAGAAUUUGCUCAGGCUGCGUCGCGGCGGGCCGUGGAGCCCAAUAAGCACAGACGCCAAGGACAAGCUCCGGGACAAGCGUCUGAGGGAAUGAAAGUCCUGGCUGGGCCCUGAAGAGUCCUGAGAAGGGGCUGUUGUGGAGUGGGGGCAAAGGGGCCUGAAACGUUCCACCAGGAAGCGAGGGCUGAGGCGGGUGCCCUGGACGUCCCCCUCGAGGUGCCCGUCUCAGUCCUUUUCUGGUCCGAGUGGUCACUCCUUGUCAGGGAACUUCACUCGCCCUACGGAGCCCAGGGUUUCCCAUCCUCCACUUUGGGAAUGAUGCCCAGCCUUGCCUUCAGCUGCUAACCAGCGAUGCCCAGGGGCAGCCUGUAACAUUCUCAGAGGGAAGCAAUUAAAUCCAUUUUAAUUUUAAAAACAUUCCUGGCAGAAUGCCAGGAAGUAGGUAGUGGGGGGGGGGAGUCCCUGGUGGGGGAACAAAAGCAGAAAUUCCCAAAUGGCUCCGGUUUAUGGGCCAAUGGACAAAUGAAGGAUUGGGGAGGGCCCCUGGCGUGACGAAGGACCUCGAGCUUGUGCCACAUGCACUGAGCUCUGACUGCUUUAAAGGACGUAUCAUGGAAACGGGAUAGAACGAGGCACAGGCAUUUUCAUCCAAGUAGGCUUCAGAUUGUUCUUCCCUUCUGCAUAUUUGCAAUCACAUCAGUAUGCAAGAAAUAAUACAUGAAAACUUCUCAGAACUUCUGAAUAUAAAAGGCAAUAUUAUUGGAAAGAAUUCACAGACUUCCUCCAUAAAAAAAACCUAUGCUACAAUCAAAUAAGUUAAUUAUUCUUCUGACAAACAACAAUUCUCCAACAGACCAGGAGAAAGACCUUCAAAUAUAAAGGAAGGGAAAAUUUGAAUACACAAGACUACUCUGUACUCACCAGAAACCAAAGAAAAGAAUGGAACAGUGUGUUCCAAAGAACUCUGGACAUCAAGAUGCAGCCUGAGGGAACCUACUCUGUACAUAUGAGCUUAACCACUAAUGGAAAAGGGGGGAUAUUUAAUAAAAAGAGGCACUUGUGGCAUUCUUAGAAAGGAAAAA